rnacentral:rRNA from 1 species
GACGAACGCUGGCGGCGCGCUUAACACAUGCAAGUCGAACGGAAAGGCCUGCUUUCCCUUGUGGAUUGCGGGUACUCGAGUGGCGAACGGGUGAGUAACACGUGAGUGAUCUGCCCCCAACUUGGGUAUAAGCCUGGGAAACUGGGUCUAAUUCCCGAUAGGACUGCAGGGUGGUGCCUGUGGUGGAAAACGAUUUUCUAGUGGUUGGGGAUGAGCUCGCGGCCUAUCAGCUUGUUGGUGGGGUAAUGGCCUACCAAGGCGGCGACGGGUAGCCGGCCUGAGAGGGUGGACGGCCACAUUGGGACUGAGAUACGGCCCAGACUCCUACGGGAGGCAGCAGUGGGGAAUAUUGCACAAUGGGCGGAAGCCUGAUGCAGCGACGCCGCGGGGGGGAUGACGGGCUUCGGGUGGUAAACUCCUUUCGACCGCGAGGAAGCCACCUGGUUGGAAGGGUGGUGACGGUAGUGGUAGAAGAAGCACCGGCUAACUACGUG